rnacentral:rRNA from 1 species
GACGAACGCUGGCGGCGUGCUUAACACAUGCAAGUCGAACGGAAAGGCCCUGCUUUUGUGGGGUGCUCGAGUGGCGAGCGGGUGAGUAACACGUGAGUAACCUGCCCUUGAAUUUGGGAUAACUUCAGGAAACUGGGGCUAAUACCGGAUAGGAGCUCCUGCUGCGUGGUGGGGGUUGGAAAGUUUCGGCGGUUGGGGAUGGACUCGCGGCUUAUCAGCUUGUUGGUGGGGUAGUGGCUUACCAAGGCUGUGACGGGUAGCCGGCCUGAGAGGGUGACCGGCCACAUUGGGACUGAGAUACGGCCCAGACUGCUACGGGAGGCAGCAGUGGGGAAUAUUGCACAAUGGGCGGAAGCCUGAUGCAGCAACGCCGCGUGCGGGAUGACGGCCUUCGGGUUGUAAACCGCUUUCGCCUGUGACGAAGCGUGAGUGACGGUAAUGGGUAAAGAAGCACCGGCUAACUACGUG